GAUACUCUGUUAGCUCUGGAUCAACGAUAUCUAGAAGCCGCCCUUCUUCUCUAAGCUUCCAUACCUGUAGUGUGUAAACCUUCAGAAUUAAAGUACAAUUAUGAUCUUUUUGAUUAACAAGUGUGUAAAUCUUCAGAGUUAGAGUAAGAGUUAUAAUCUUUUCGAGUAACGCCAAUAACUGGCCCAUCUAUUUUGUGUUGAAACCUUUUUAAGGACUUCCGAACUUCUAAGGGUGUUGCUUAAUGGUCAAUCAAGGUGAAAACACAGGAGAUCAAGGAUCAAAUCCGAGAGAAGAAAAUGCUAGGUGAUUUUUCACAUAUACCUAAAAUUCUAAACCUUGGUAGAAAAGUUAAUCUGGUGCUUGUGCUGAUGGAAAUAGCGGGUAUUCUGUGGAAUAGUCAAUGUGCAGCGAGCAGACUUGGACGCUACCAUUAUAAAUUAGAAAGUAUUCUAUCCUUAUGAUCCAGGAGAUCAUGGGUUCAAGCCGUGGAAAUAGCCUCUUUCAGAAAUACAGGGUAAGGUUGCGUACGAUUGACCCUCAUGAUCUGGCCCUUCCCCGGACCCCGCGCAUAGCGGGAGCUUAG
rnacentral:lncRNA from 1 species